UCCUCGAUAGUCUAGUGGUUAUGAUAUGUCGCUCUCAAGUGUUCCAUUACUAGUGAGCGCCCGACAAGGUCCGGGUUCGAUUCCCGGUCGGGGAA
rfam:Tilletiaria anomala TBC 951 K437scaffold_217, whole genome shotgun sequence.